rnacentral:lncRNA from 1 species
CACAGCCAACUUUUUAUUUUUCUAUUCAUCAACAAUCCACAGCAUCAUUAAACAGGGUGAUUAAAGAAAACAUACAAAGUUCAAGUGGAUAUUUUUUUUUCUUUUUUGCUUGAAAAUAGGUGAGCUGGUAUCAAUUUAAUGUGGAUAAAAUAAAUACAAUCCAUAAUAAAAACAAAAUUGGAAGAAGGGAAAAAAAGAUACAAAAUCAAAGUGUGUUUCAAAAACGUGGAACAUGACAUCUGACUUCUUUUUCACUUAGAGAACAAGCUAUGUGCUUUCACAUGUGCAGGUCACUAUAGAAUAUCAACCUUAACUUAUACCCCCAAAAUGAAAACAAACACCAACAAAAAUAAAACCCCACAAUUACACCUAGACUCAGACAAUAUUUUUUCUUCUUCUAAAAAAGAGACAGACAUGGAAGAAUAACUGCAUUCUUUCACAAAUUUAGCUUAAUCUCAAGGAUUAAGUACCUUAGGAGCUGUCAUUUGGGCAUUUCCUGCUCAUGCUCAUUUUAGUAUAAACAAACAUGGUUUGUGUUGUGUAAUAUAUAUUUGAAGAGUUUCUUUAAAAAGAAUCACGUUUCAUUUCAUAUAUACAUAUAUAUAUAUGAAACAUACACACACACACACACACACAAACAACCAAUUAUGUACUUAAAAUAAAUUACAGGAAAUAACUUUAAAAUGCAAUGGAAGACAAAAGUUUCACAAACAUUCCCAAUGAAUUCCCAGGGAAGGGGAGGAAGGGGUGGUGGUAAUGUGAAAAUGCAGUGCUCAAGGCAGGUAAAUAUCACAAAUAUAUCAAAAACUUCAAAUUGUUUAUGCAUUCACACAUUUACAUGAGCCACAAACAUUCCUUUACAUAAACCAUACUUAGCCUACUACAGAACCAGAUUUUGCCAUAAACUACAAAACUUUUAAUACAAAAUCGUAUUUAUAUAUUUAUAAUUCAUAUACAUGCCCUAUCUGUGAUUUUAGAAAAUAAGCUACACACUGUAUAGACAAUCCUAACUCAUUGCUGUAGGCAACAUUUUUGGCUGGAAUUCUCCCAAUAAAAUUAAUGGCAUAUUUUAUAUACACAAAGGCUAAACUGCAGAAGAGACAGUUCCAUUUCCCAGUUAUGCAUCUCCUUUUAGGGCAGGUCUAUGCAAUUUAAGAAGGCAUGACAAAUGUACACUCCAAAAUCA